GGCAGAGUCAGCUAUCGGGAACCAAGUCGCAAGAAGGGUGCGAGCUGAUGUUCGACAACUAAAGCUUCCAUUGUUCGCCAAUGAAAGUGAUGAGGGAGAUUGAAACACUGGGGCGAAUGUGGAAGACUCUCCUUCUCCUGGGAAAAAAGAACUGAGUAUCUACACUAUCUGUGUCACUCAGGGGAAAACAGAUGAGAAGUCAUGUGAUGCAACAUUGUGCAAUAUGGAAACUGCAAGGUGUCAGACCACCACCGAGUGGUCUUUACUACAGAGGACAGUAAAAACCACCAAAAGGAUCACUGGGGUCUCCCUGCCCCCAAUUUGAGACAUCUACCGGAAGCCUUGUAUGCAAAGGGCCCAAAAUAUUAUUGAGGGUCCCUACCACCCAUCUCACAAUCUCUUUGACCCACUACCAUCAGGAAGGAGAGCAUAUAAGAUAUCAGCAAAAUACAGUCACACAGAAGAUAGAGUCCAAAUCCCUGAGCUCGUGAAUGUUGCAGAAAUCUGCAUCAGACACAAUAAGGCUUGUCUUCCACCAAGCUACCACAGACUCCAGCUGAAUAUUGCACAGCUGUAAAUCUACCUAGAGCAGGCCGUCCUCAAAACUGAGUACUGUGCAAGAAGGGGACUA